AUGUUCGCAAUAGAUCCAUUGUUUCAUUGAUAUCGAUAAAAACGAUUUUAAGCUUCGGAAGGUGAACUCGCGGUAAAGCACAAACAGACCAAGUAUAUUUUAAUUUCAAAUAUAAGGGAACUGUGAUUUUGUUUGUCUCAAAACAUCCGACUUAUAAGUCAAACAAAAACUAAUGAAUUUCUGAAAAUAAAACCUAUAACAAAUUGAGCCGGAAAAACGUGUUUUAAAGGCAGCACGAAAGUAUGAAAACCCGCCAACUGCCUAAAAGCUGCUCACCCAUAUUUGACGAAAAUUGGACUAGGUGUCAGCAGGCGAGCCAUAUGUAGUAUUCAAAAUUAAAGAAAGUGUUUAUCUAAUAUCUAUGGGCGAGUCGGAAAUAUUUAAUGAGACCCAAAUUGCAUUAAAUGUUAAGGGACAUUUUGUUAAUCCAGCACUGGGAAAACAAUCGGAUACGUGGUCGCCCUUACAUGUUUACCCUAUAGAUUUCGCUAUACUGAGGAACUCGUGGCGGACUGUUUAUACACUGCAAAUAUGCCCGAUUCGAACUAUACAAUACUUAACUAUCCACUCUAUGAGAAGCAAUCCAUCCAUGCCCAAAUGAAAUACGGCUUUCAACUGGGCGGCGUGGUUGAAGACGACGGAUCCAGUUGUGCCAUCUAUUCAAAGAACUUCAAUUGCUGGGUUGCAGUUCUCUUCGGUUUGCUGCUAUGCUGGGCAAUCAUUUCAAGUCGUUUUCGAAUAUAAAACAGUGCAAAAUUUCUGGAUGGGAACAGUAAACUGCUGUUAAAAUAAGUGGAGCCUUAACAUAUUCUGUACAAAUUAUCAGCACGUUAACAGAGCUUCAAGGCGCGGCUUAACAUAAUUAAAAGAUGUAAACGAUAAUAGAAACAGAAUUGCAAGUCCCACAUACUAGCGGCUCUUCAGCUAUCACAACUGCAAGAUACCCAGUAAAUACUAUAUAAAUUAAUUUGACAUUUGUAAAAAUUUGUUAAAAAUCGGAACAAAUUAAACAACACGAGAAAGUUUUUCCGAUUUUUAUCUAUUACAGAAAUAAAAUACAAGCAAAAACAA